GGGGAAUAUUGGACAAUGGGCGCAAGCCUGAUCCAGCCAUGCCGCGUGGGUGAAGAAGGCCUUCGGGUUGUAAAGCCCUUUUGUUGGGAAAGAAAAGCAGCCGGCCAAUACCCGGUUGUUCUGACGGUACCCAAAGAAUAAGCACCGGCUAACUUCGUGCCAGCAGCCGCGGUAAUACGAAGGGUACAAGCGUUACUCGGAAUUACUGGGCGUAAAGCGUGCGUAGGGGGUGGUUUAAGUCCGUUGUGAAAGCCCUGGGCUCAACCUGGGAACUGCGAUGGAGACUGGAUCACUGUGGUGUGGCGGAGGGUAGUGGAAUUCCCGGUGUAGCAGUGAAAUGCGUAGAGAUCGGGAGGAACAUCAGUGGCGAAGGCGACUGCCUGGGCCAACACUGACACUGAGGCACGAAAGCGUGGGGAGCAAACA
rnacentral:rRNA from 1 species